rnacentral:rRNA from 1 species
GCAAGUCGAGCGGUAACAGGGGAGCUUGCUCCUGCUGACGAGCGGCGGACGGGUGAGUAAUGCUUGGGAAUAUGCCUUUGAGUGGGGGACAACAGUUGGAAACGACUGCUAAUACCGCAUAACGUCUACGGACCAAAGGGGGGGAUUCUUCGGAACCUCUCGCUCAUAGAUUAGCCCAAGUGAGAUUAGCUAGUUGGUAAGGUAAUGGCUUACCAAGGCGACGAUCUCUAGCUGGUUUGAGAGGAUGAUC